AUUGAACGCUGGCGGCAGGCCUAACACAUGCAAGUCGGACGGUAGCACAGAGGAGCUUGCUCUUCGGGUGACGAGUGGCGGACGGGUGAGUAAUGUCUGGGGAUCUGCCCGAUAGAGGGGGAUAACCACUGGAAACGGUGGCUAAUACCGCAUAACGUCGCAAGACCAAAGAGGGGGACCUUCGGGCCUCUCACUAUCGGAUGAACCCAGAUGGGAUUAGCUAGUAGGCGGGGUAACGGCCCACCUAGGCGACGAUCCCUAGCUGGUCUGAGAGGAUGACCAGCCACACUGGAACUGAGACACGGUCCAGACUCCUGCGGGAGGCAGCAGUGGGGAAUAUUGCACAAUGGGCGCAAGCCUGAUGCAGCCAUGCCGCGUGUAUGAAGAAGGCCUUCGGGUUGUAAAGUACUUUCAGCGGGGAGGAAGGCGAUGUGGUUAAUAACCGCGUCGAUUGACGUUACCCGCAGAAGAAGCACCGGCUAACUCCGUGCCAGCCGCCGCAGUAA
rnacentral:rRNA from 1 species